GUGAAUCAGUGAUCGUCAAAGGUAUAGUGACGUUUCGGAGCAGCGAAACGGUGAAUACGGUCGCUGCUCCACUUUUUUGGCGCGCAGUGCGGAAGGAACACGUGGCACUCCGGGAAAUUAGGAAAUUCGUUACGUUUGACAGUGCGGUAUCCGUGAGUUUCGUGAGAAAAGUAUGUGGCUCGGUGCUCAUUGAGAGGCGCACAUUAAUUGGGAUUAAUUUACAUCGAGCCCCGUCUAUCCGUCCAAGGCGAGGAGGAUGACCACCAGGCGAAAGAAGAAGUCGCAGGACGGGUUCCUGAAGAAGGUGUCGAGCUUGUUCAAUCUGGACACGGUCACUGGUACUCAUUGCUACCACUAAGAAAAAGGCGGGAAUAUUUUAUUUUUACGCUCAUCUACAAAGAAAGUGAAAAAACAAUGCCCAAGGAGUUCUGCCCUAUAAAGGGUUAAGUUAUGGCUCAAGAUACGCCACGGUGUAACAAUAAAAUAAUCUGAUAAAUUGUAGGUACAAUGCAAAGAAAACGAGCCUCAUACUGAUACGUGAGACGUAACAUGCCACUAGUUCCACACUCCAUAAGUUACACUUUCCCUCCUCCUCAAUUUCCACUAACUUUUUAGGGUAAUGCCAGGUUUCACUCGAACCUUAAAUAGAAUCAAUGAACGGCUCGUUAUGUUUACAAGCAAUACGGAUCUUAACGCGAAGGAUAUCCGAGCAUCUAUGUCAAUGAUAUUCGGAAUAUUCGACUUCAUAGCGUUGCUAUAAAGCAAUUUUCAGUGUCGUAACAUUAUGCGCACUCUGAGCGGAACGAAUACGACAUUAAUCUUGAACAAGUACCGGGUACGCGUACUAAUAAAGUCUUGGAGUAAAAACAGACGAGACCUUGAUAACCGUGGAUGAGUGGUGGAUCGCGGAACGCUAUAUUAAGCUGAACAUUUUGUUCUGCGUAAUGCAUUUAUUCAGGUGCAUGGAUCUUCUAUUGGGAACUGCGUAAAAACUCGAGGAAGGCUAAACCGUUGUUACCGAUUAGUUUACAGAAUAUAAUAUGGAUAGGAAUGGAUGUAGAAUGUUCCCCGUUUUUCUUGCUCGCUGGCCGCUCGCUCAGCUGCGAACUGUUUUGCUGGAACAAGCGAAAUGAACCGAAUUCACGCGAAAAGGGUGUUGUUAAAUUCUGUCAUAUUUCCCUCACUGUUCUCGAUGCUCUAGAUUGCUGUGCUCUCUUUUACCUGUUUAUUUACGCGCCACGACGGGCGUGUAAACAGUGGGUGGUGAACGGUUCUUCAAAAUGUUGUGGUUAAGAAUUGUAAUGGAAAUGGGUAGUGAGUUUGGUAAAUUAUUUAACAAGAAUCAACAUGAAGAGAGAGGUAUAGCAAACAUGGAUUUAGUGCAAACAUUCCACUACUACCUUGAACUCUCUACACAUGGAGAGUACGUAUACAGUUGUUGUGGUUAAUAAUUGCAAUGAACAUAGAUAAUGAGUUAGAUAAAUUAUUUAUCAAGAAUCAACACGAAGAGUCCGAUAUAACUCUCACAAGCAUGAAUUCAGCAUGAAACAUCCCACUACUGCCCAAACCCCGCGCACAUGGGGAGUACAUACACAGAAGUUCGUAAUCGCCUCAUUCAUAACGCUCCAACUGCAAGGAAAGUCGAUUCCCCUCCGCUAUUAACUUCCCGGAGGUGCUACUUUUCCUCGAUUCGAGCAAUAUCGUUAUCACCCCGAUAGCGGGCCAUCGCGUUUUGAAAACAUGGCCCUUCCUUCGACGUCGUAUCUGCUCCUUUCACGGUGGAAAACGAAUCGUCGUGCCUCUGGGAGGAAGAAAGGAAAACUAGACGGUUCCGUGAAAGUGGAAAAAAGAGAUCACGCGAACGGCAACCUCUUACCUAGGAGAGGGAGGGAAAACGUUGCGAAGUUCGGGAAACUGUGAGAGAAUUGCCGUUGAAAACCGUUCGACCAUUUUUCUCCUUGAUUUCACGAGCGUUUCGCGCGAUAAGGAAACGUGGAAUAACUUCGACGAGGCCCCCAAACCUUCGGAUAAAGGAGAAAGCAACGAGAAACUAAAGGUGAUCCCCGUGGAACGCAAACAACGUCGUUUGCGCUUCCUUUUUCCGCGACGACGGGUUUACUCAGGUGAACUGCAACGGAAUCGUGAUGUUUCGUUCGUUCGAUUGUGUUUACAGAUUCAACUAUCAAAUUGUUGAGCUGGGAUAGAGAUCCCGCGCGUAGGUUUAUCGGUAAUGUCGCUUUUCUUUAGGAACGAACUCCCUUGGAAACGAAUAGGUGAAGAUUUGUGAUUAUUAUAACAAUUAUUCAUACAAAAUUCAAACAAAAAUUUAAAAAAAAUUCUCAUCUAAUUUACCCCGUGUGUCUAAGAAUUCUGAUUGUUGGAAAAUGAGCGAGUCCCAUUAAAAUUCCUCGCGGCUCGGGUUUGUUUUCCUUCGCGAAAUCAACGGCGUGUUGGUAAGCUUUAUCGGAUGUCGUAAGCGUUCAGUUUACAUUGGCACCUGAUUUCGACACGUCCAAGCCACCCCUACGGGUCCUAAGUCAACCUGGACACUCUGGCUUGGCGUAAGCUACCACACUGUACACAGUUUGCGAACCAGUGGACGCCGAAAUAAUUUCGCGGUGGAAUUUCCGAUGAAAUGGAGAACAGAUUGGGCGCAAAGCUAAAGGCACAUAAUUACUGUAAAUUUUGAUAAAGAUCGGAGAUUAGAAAUAGUAGAUAGGCUCAAGAAAGGAUUCAGGAAAAGGAUGUCAACUAGGUCAAUCGUCUUUUAGAUAUCGUGGUCAUCCGAAAAUAAUG